CAGAAAACAGGAAACAGCUCUACUCUGAGCAGACUGGGGGAACAAAAAGCAGUGACCCUGUCAUAGUGCUCCAGGCAAAUGUGACACACAGUCACCCCCAUUAUCUGCUCUUCUCCCCCAGGGGAGGAGAUGGGAAAGAUUCUCUCUAAUCCAUGCCCACGUGCACUCAGGAGUGCAAGCUUCCCCUCUGAAGAAAUGUGAGGAGAGGCACUGAACUACAACAGCCAGCUUAAACUGGACCCUAAACCUUUCCCUCUUCUCCCUACUGUAGACUGAAUUGUGUCCUCAUGCCCUUCAGAUAUACAUGUUGAAGGCUUAGCCCUCGGUGGGAGGGAUUUGGAGAAGGAGUCUUUGGAAGGAUCAGGGUUAGAUGAUGCAUGAGGAUGGAGCCCUCAUGCUGGAUAGCUGCUUUUACUAGAAGAGACACCAGA
rnacentral:lncRNA from 1 species